UACGUAGGUGACAAGCGUUGUCCGGAUUUACUGGGCGUAAAGAGCGCGCAGGCGGUCGAUCAAGUCGAGUGUGAAAGCCCCCGGCUCAACUGGGGAGGGUCAUUCGAUACUGAUCGACUCGAAGGCAGGAGAGGGUAGUGGAAUUCCCGGUGUAGUGGUGAAAUGCGUAGAGAUCGGGAAGAACAUCGGUGGCGAAAGCGCUCUACUGGACCGCAACUGACACUCAGGGACGAAAGCUAGGGGAGCGAAUGGG
rnacentral:rRNA from 1 species